UUUUUUUUUACACUCAAUAUAAAGAGAACGUGUCAAAAGAAAAGAAAGUAGUCAUUGAGCACAUUAAUACUAAGCAGAUGUUAGUUGGUCAUUUGACUAAAGGUAUGUCACCACACAAAUUUAACGAUCAUAUUGUCACUAUAAGACUUGUUCCCAUCUUGUAAAUUUUCGUUAUAAUAACAAUUAUAAUUAAACUCGGUUAAGUUUGAUGUUUCUCAUAUUUUGUGUGCAUAUUAAUUUGAUUGUUUCAAGAAAUAUUACUAAAGUUUGGACCUAGAAUAAAUAUUGAGUUUAUUUAUUAAGAAAUUUGGAUUAAAGCGUUGAAACAUUAUAUAUUGUGAUACAUAGAAGAUACUACUCAAAUUCUAAAAAAAAGAUAUUGCCAUAAUUCGUGCAUUAUAUUUUGACUACUUUGUGGGCAAAACGAACCAAGGGGGAGAAUGUUGGAAAGGGGGAGAAUGUUGGAAAAGUUUUGGUUUGUGGGUUAUUCUCACUUUUGCUGCCCUCAACUCCCACUUUUGUUGCCCACUUCUUUGUUGUGUGGUAAUAAGUAGAUGUGUGAUAGUGGGAUUGUGGUUUUUUUUAUGGGGAACCACCACUAUAAAUAUCCCUAAGCAUAAGGUCCCAGAGCACCAAAAAACACUUUCUGAAAACAAUUCCAUCUAGUGAAGUUUUUGAUUGCUUAGAAGAUCGUCAUUUUUUUUUGUGUUUUCUAAAUUUCGUAUUUUCAUAUAGCUAAAUACGACGUCAUUGUCAGUUGUUUGACGCGCUUGACAAGUGGUGUUACAACGUCUGAAUUUUGAUAUUUGGUUCAGACAACGACUAGAGGCAUUUCUAUUUGAUUUUUCCAUUGCUUAAUUUUGUUUAAACUGUGAUUUGUGCUUGCAAUUAAGCCUAUUAGAGUUAUCAAGUAAAUAUGAUGUUUUUUAAAAGUAAUUAGGGAUUUAGGUUGUUUUUUUUUUAAAUUUAAGGAAAUAGGCUGAUUUUGGAAGACGUUGGUGACGCGUGGCGAAAACGCGUUAUUGGAUCCCCAAUGGUUAGAAAAUCAUGACUGUUGAUUUUCUAACUGUUGGGACCAACGACUAUUUAACCCAAUGGUCCUAUUUUUUUCCUAUAUAUAUAUCCUAUACAUUUUCAAUUUUUUUCAUUCAAUCCUAUUCAUCUAUUCUCUCAACUCUCUCGACUCUUUUAUUCUUAAUUUUCUAUCCUAAUCUCUCAAAUUUCUUUCAAAAUCUUCUUCUCUCAAUUUUAUAUCCUAGUCGUUUGUAAUCAUUUUAAAAAUUUUAAAAAUGUCAAUGCCACUAAUUCGUUUGAAUUAAAAAUUUUAAAAACGUCCAAUUACAAAUAGUAAGAAAAUACUAUUAUAAUUUUUUAUUUUAAUUAAUAUUAUUAUUAAGUUGUUAAUAUUGUUUUUUUUUUAUGUUUGUAUAAUCAUGACAAAGAUCGAAUUAUCAAAACAUGUAUACAUAAUUUAAGUGCGAGAACACCAUGUGUUAUUGAACAACACUUGGAACAAGCGAGAUUCUUGCAUAUGUCCCGUAUGCUCAGCGAGGUUAAUUUGGAGCUCGCACUUAUUAGUGUUUUGUUGGAAAGAUAGAGACCCGAGACACACACAUUCUAUCUUUCGUGUGGUGAGUGUACCAUUACACUCGAGGAUGUGACAUUACAACUCAAUUUAUCGGUUGAUGGGUCAAUCGUUAUGGGGGUAGUGCAUGUUGGUGAUUGGAGCACAAUAAAAAUUAUUAGGCAAUGAGCCAGACGAGUUUAGUGGUAAUUGGGUAGAUAUAAUGGUUAAAAGAUAAUUUCUCACAUCUUGACAACUCUUUUAGUGCAGUUGAAAGAAAAACAAUUCGCUCAAGCAUCCAUACUAAGGUUGACUGGGGCUUUUCUAAUGCCAAAUAAAUCUUGAAAUUUAGUACAUUUAAGGUGACUCCUAUAAGUAAUCGACUUAAAAGAAGUCGAACAACUCAGUUGGGGAUCAACCGUCUUAGCUACAUUGUACCUAGAGAUGUGUUGGAGAACUAAAGUACAUAAAACUAAAAAUCGGUAGUUGUAUACACCUUCAGUCAUGGACAUGAUACCAAUUGCUAUUUUUACGUCUCCGAGUAAACUUCUGUUAUCAAUUUUCACUCACAAUAAGGUAAGAUUCAUUUAAUAAUAUAGUUAUCAUAUUAAUUUUUUCAUUAUUACAUUUUUGGAAUAACAUAUUAUUUGAAUAGGUGGAAUAAUGACACGAGUCAUGUGUGUAUACCGGACGUGCUUAAAGAUAUCUAGUUAUUCUUAAAUCAACAGUCAAAAGCUUAGGUUAGUUUUUGAAUUUUCAAUUACAUAAUAAUUAUGCAAGGAUUUGAAAUUUAAUAUUAGGCAUGCAAUAAAAUUUAUAAUUUCGUAUUGCAGUUUGAAUGAAUGCCAUACUUUGAUCCGAGAAUUUAAGAAUAUAUCUCGACCGAAUUUUUGGUGAAUUGCGAUAUCUAGAUCAAUUUUUAAAACUAAAACAAAAAAAUAUUAUACAAAAAAAUAAAUACUCAUUAAUCAAAUUCAAACAACGACACUUACUUGAACUAAUUUACUUUGUUAGGUUAAUUUUUGAACUUCUGAUUUUUAACAUCAACAAUAUUCUCCUUAUGCAAAUCUUCUACUUGAAAUUUAACUAUGAAACCCUAUCCAUAUCAAUCUUUAUUUUAUAGAAAACUUUACCACUGAAUAUGAAACAUAUUUCAAAAUGUUGGAAAAGAUCAAAUAUAACAGGUCAAAAAAACUUUUUUCAAAAAAGUUUUUAACGAUUAUAUUCUUGUUCUGCCACGGAAAAAAUGAGAUGUAAAUUUUAUCUUGAGAUUCUUGAGUUUUUAUAAACUUUAUCUUGAGAUUUUCAGAUUUUCAGAAUUCAAUUUAACCAUUAAUUAUUAUUAUUAUUUUAUAAAAAAAGUUUUCGAAUGAUUUGAUAAGGAGAAAGGGUGAAAAAAAGUCACAUAUGACACGUUUUCACACACUCUCUUUAUCACGUCAUCCAAAAAAGCUUUCAACAAAAAAAACAUUUUUACCACCUAUCUCAAAAUUAAUCUAUUUCCUUAAUUUUGAAAGAAAAUGCCUUAAAACCCUGAUUUCUUUUUUAAAUUGGCAUAAACAGACAAUAUUCCCAACUACCAAAUAUCAUCGGAAUAACUGAAAAAAAAACAUCGGAAUAGAAUAUAAUUCCGACCAAUCAAACACUAUAGUAGUCUAGUGACUAGGCUUAUGAAACCCCUGACUAAACCACACGCUCCCUCUCUUGGGCGUGGAAAAAAUUUACCAAAACCCACAAUUAAAGCUCCCCCUCAUAAUCCAAACCUACGACCUCAACUUGAUGUUGCCAUCACCUCCCAAAAUUUCUAGCAUCAACAGGCGCCUGCAUAACACGCAAAACAAACAGGGCGUAGGUAAAACACUCUUCUCAUCCGUAUGAUUCUUCCCGAGCACGGCACUUUUGAUGCACCCACACGCUUCUUCCCAGUCGCUUAUAUCCACUAGGGCAUUCACCACCGUACACCUGUAAAGAUAAGAUACAGGUAAAAAAAGUUGAGAGGGAAAAAAGUCGAAAGCACUUUUUAGAGAGAGAAAGAGAGCGGCGUUGAGGGAGGAGGACUCGUGAGGAGAUCUGAAAUCGAACAAUCCAAGGUGAGGAGCUGUGAAAUCUGCCUUUCUUGUUUUAAUUUAUUUUGUCCGUGUUAUCUUUAAAUUCGGUUUUAGGGUUUUACAUAGAUGGUUGUAGUUGUAAUUUUGUAGAUCGAGGCUUGGGUUUUUCUUCUGUAGAUUUUUUGUGUUUCUUUGGAUUCGGUGGUUGAAACUUGGGGGAACUCUCAAGUUUGGGAGGUGAAAUUUAGGGUUUUUGGUGCAGAGGUCGUUGAACCCUAUUUCGGACUUGGUUGCGGGUACAGAGUUGUUUUGGUUGGAGACUGGACAAAAGGAAUUAGGGUUUAAAACCCUAAUAUAUGUGUAUGGCUUCGGGGAUAGUAGCUGGAGAAGGAAAAGAUGGUGAGAGAGAGAAACAGAGGUACAGUGAGAGCAAGGUUUAUACCAGAAAAGCGUUCAAGGGUUCCAAGAAAAACAAUCUUCUCAACUCCACUGUUAACAGUAGCAACCUCAACCACCACCACCAAGACACCACCACCACCACCUCCACCUCCACCACCAACAACAACCAUGACGACAACAACAACAACAACAACAACAACAACAACAACAACAACAAAAACGACAGCAACGUGGAUAGGGCUGCUGUGAACGACACUGAUGUCACCCCAGCGGCUGUCCCUAACACCAAUGACUACAGCAACCACCCUGUUGAAAGACCUGCUCAGCCUCUUCCUUUGGAGUUUGGGGGUUCAGCUCACCAACAGCCUGGUCCUCGCAUAGAUACUGCUGUGUCUGAUGACUGUUCAAACCUUAAUAAGCAGGCAGCUGUGGCUGGAGCAUUGAAGCCUAGUUCCGAGAACCAGGUGAAGAUCAAUUUGGCUUCAAGGUCAAAGCAGGAGAUGGGGGAACUGAGGAGGAAGUUGGUCAGUGAGCUUGAUUUGGUAAGGAGUUUGGUGAAGAGGAUUGAAGCUAAAGAAGCGCAAAUAAGGGGGUUUAGUAAUGCCCCUGUUCCUUUAAAUAAUGCCGUUGAUUAUGGUUUCAAUAGGGUUCAACCAGAGCCGGCCUCAGUGGGCAUUUCGAAUGAGCCUGUUAAGAAAUCAAGGCCUUUGAAUCAGUUGAAUAUUUCUGCCUUGGAAAAUAGUCAGGGUGCAAAUGAAAAUUUGGAGAAGGAGAAAAGGACGCCUAAGGCAAAUCAGUUUUAUCGUAAUUCUGAGUUUUUGCUUGCAAAAGAUAAGUUCCCACCAGCUGAGAGUAACAAGAAGUUGAAAUUAAAUGGGAAGAAGCAAGGAGGAGGUGAAUUCACACACGGAUUUGGCAUGGGUAAUAAGCUCUUUAAGAACUGUAGUUCUUUGCUUGAAAGACUAAUGAAGCACAAGCAUGGUUGGGUCUUUAAUUCUCCUGUUGACGUCAAAGGUCUUGGUUUGCAUGAUUACUAUAGUGUCAUUAAGCAUCCCAUGGAUUUGGGCACUGUGAAAACGAGGCUUGGUAAAAACUGGUACAAGUCACCAAGAGAGUUUGCAGAGGAUGUGAGAUUGACGUUUCGGAAUGCCAUGACAUAUAAUCCUAAGGGACAAGAUGUUCAUGUAAUGGCAGAGCAAUUAUCAAAGAUAUUUGAGGGCAAAUGGGCUUCUAUAGAGGCAGAUUAUAUUCGAGAUAUGAGACUUGCAGUAGAAUAUGAAGCAAGUCUUCGUCUGCCAACACCAAGAAAGGCACAUUCAAUGCUACCACCUCCCCUUGAUACAAGAAGAAUCUUGGAUAGAUCAGAGUCAAUGACACACCCUGUUGAUCCCAGACCAAAACUUAUUGCUACUACUCCUUUGGGUAGGACUCCUGCUCCAAAAAAGCCUAAAGCAAAGGAUCCUUACAAGAGGGAUAUGACUUAUGAAGAGAAGCAGAAGCUUAGCACUAACCUUCAAAGUUUGCCUUCAGAGAAGCUGGACAACAUUGUACAGAUUAUUAAAAGAAGGAAUUCAGCUGUCCUUCAACAUGACGAUGAAAUAGAAGUAGACAUUGACAGUGUGGAUACUGAGACUCUUUGGGAGCUGGAUAGAUUUGUUACCAACUACAAGAAAAGUUUGAGCAAAAACAAGAGAAAGGCUGAACUUUCCAUUCAAGCCAGAGCAGAAGCUGCGCAGGUUGUACCUGAGAAAGUAAGGGUUAUGUUUUUUUUAAAAAAAUCAUAGUUUCUUAUGAAAUAAUAUUUUCCUGAGGGUUGCUAAUUUCAUGCAUUUAUUGUAUUUAGUUGCAGACUGUUGCUCCUGUUUUGUUGGAAGUGCCCAAGGAAACUACAACUAGUAAGUUUUCAUGUUAAGGAGUUAUAAUAUGUUUGCUACUUGCUUUGGUUGGUCUAAAUUAUUAUAUAUAUGUACCUGCAGAUGAACAGAAUGUGUCCAGAUCACUUGUUGAAGAAGAAAAACAGGGAGAUGCUGCUAGUAGGUCAAGUAGUUCAAGUAGCUCUAGCAGUGAUUCUGGGUCUUCUUCUAGUGGUAUGAUGAUUUAUUUCUUACAUGAUUUUUAGUGGAACUAAAUUGUGUUUUAUUGUUCUAACAUAUAUAAUUGUUUGUUGUAGACUCUGAUAGUGAAAGUUCCUCGGCCUCUGGAUCUGAUGCUGGACAUUCACCUAGAGCUUGAGUGUUUCUCAUUUAGGUAUGCUGAAAUGUCCCUGUUUCUUACAGGCAUUCAUGAUUUGAUUUCUUAAAGUUGCUCAGGUGUAUGUGGUCAUUUUUAAAUUACCUCUUUAGCUGUAGAAUUGUUAUCAGUUUUAUUUGUAUUGUGGUUCUUUCGAGUAGUGUGAUUGAUGUUUAGUGAUGGUGUAAAUGGUGGUGAAUAUUUUUGCCUGGUAGCAUCACUAUGUAAGUGAGCGCACAUAACUUCUGUUAAAAUUUGGAUUUGUAAACAAUUGUGGGUCUUGAGACCUUGAGUUCACUCUUCAAUGAGAUUUCAACUUGUAGUUCUCAGAUGCAAAUACUGAGGGGAGAGUGAGUUUCUGAGUUUAUUUAAGGGAGUUAACUCCCUUUCUAUUUGAAAUCAGCGGACUUCCAUGUGUAAGGAAAACGAAAAAAAUUUGCAGACCUUACAUGUCUUGGUGAAUUAAUAUCCUUGUAAGUUGAAGAUGUAUAGUUUCAGCAUUUGAUGAUUGCAAACUAUGUAAGCCAAAUAUCAAACUGUUUAUGUUGAAAAGAAUGUUUUCCUUUUGACAAGGGGGAUAUCUAGCUAUGUUGUGACUUUUGACUGUAUAUGCUGGUCUAGUUGCAUGUUGAACUCAGCCAUGAUGGAAAGGAGAUUUCAGUUAUUUAAGGAAAGAGUGCUGUUGUAUUUGAAGUUCUUGGUUAUAAAUGUUUAUUCAUUCUGUGGCAACUCAUUAGACGAACUGUUAUCUGAGAUUUGGCUUGUAGAUGCUGGUCUAUUAAGUAUAAAACUUUAUAGUUGCUGUGGUUCUCUUCAAAUCAGUUAAUUCGUGGAUUUUGGUAAGACUAAAAAGUUCUGACAGACCUGUGGUUGUGAUACAUCCUGAUUCUUUGGAGGAGAAUUAUAUCUUUGUCUGGACUUUCAGGUUGGUGUGUCAGUGCAUUUAGUUUAUCGUGCGCUACAAAAAUUGGUUGAAACAUGAAAGUAUUCUAGUUGUCCACUUUACCACGAAAAUCAAUUAGAUUAAGCACCUAUUUUAGUAUUCUUUAUUGGAGAAAUAAAUCACUUAAAAUGUUCUUGAAUUCUUCCACUUCUAUUAAAUAAGCCCUUAAACUUUUACCAUACUCAAAUAAAGUUUAUCUUUUGAUUUGCUACAAAAUAAGCCCUUGUUUCAAUUGAAUCGUCAAUUUAGGUAUGCUUAAGGAUAAGGGAUUUGAAGGGUCAAUUGUAAUUGAGUAGGAGAGGUAUUUGAAGGUAAAAAGAUGCAACAAACGUAUUGUGCAUAUAACUAAACAUGUAUGUUAUGAUGUAAUUUAGCUGUGUGAUACUGUAUCUGUUAUGAUGAAGAUGUCACUCUCUCUUUGAUUUUUACGCAUGUUUAAGUGGAUUUAAGAUGCUUCAUUAAGUGUCCUGGUGUGGUUUUCUGUAAUGUGAUGCUAUAUUCGGUGAAAAGCUAAUUUUUUGGAUAAUGACUACAACAUUGCAAAUAGGAUUUUCUCAACUUCUUACUGUUGCCAUUUGAUAAAUUUCUACAGCCAUUCUUGAUACUAUGGUUAACAAGAUUAAAUUUCUUUAGAAUAGUUGGUGGUGUGUGGGGUUGCUGGUCUAAAAAUUUAGAGUAGGUGCUGAGCCAUUGUGAUCCUGUAAUUUUGCAGAUUAGCCUCUAUGAAUUUGAUGUUGCAUUUGGGUGUAUAGUGAAGAUUUUGGUACCUCGGACCUGAAGGGCUCCCUCCAGGUGGUUGAGCCACCGUCAAGAUGCUGUUGUUGGAAGUGGGAACAAGGCUUCAGCAGCACUUGAUAAUUUGUGGAGUAUCUGUAUAAUUAUAAUUAGGAUGGGUAGAAUGUGGUGUUGAAUGGGUAGGGAUUAGAGAUAGGAAAAAUUGGAAGCACGUGUGUACAUUGCUAAUUUAACCAAUGCUACUCAACUCACCCUAGUUUCAUGGAACUUUGUUUAUUGUGUUUACGCUUUGUGAUGGGCAGAUUCUUUGAUUUGAUGUUAUUAUACGGAAAGAAAGAAACAAGGCCUUGUAAUUCAAAAGUAGUAAGUACGCUUCAAAUGAAAAAUAAUAAUUAUGAUUUGAUGAUGCCCUUAGGGAUUGUGCUAUUUCUGCUUUCUGUUUGGACAUGAUUACAAGUUUAGCUAUUGUAGGCUUGGAAUUAUUAUUGUUUCAAAUUUUGAUUUGAAUCUUUUUUUUUGUGAAUCUAUCAAAUUAAUUCUUACCUCAAAUUGAUAAAUGUGAUUUAUCAUGUUCGAUUGUAUUGUCCUAACACAAAAGCUUAAGGAGAAAUUCAAUGCAGUUCGUAUCUUAUUAAAACUUUAGUUUGGUAAAUUAUUUGAACUUAAGCCAUUUUUUAGUUUUAAAUCUAUUUAUGUAAAUUUAGUGCUUGAAAGAUGAGAAUUCUCAAUGAAAAUGAGGGGGAAAAUGUUUUUAUUUAUAGUUGUGUUUUUUUAAAUCUAAAGGUAUAAUUUAAAUUACAUUGACGGUCAAUAUUAAAGCUUAUUUAUAAUAUGAGAAUCUUAAAAGAUUUAAACUUUAUACAAUCUUAUCAUUUAGGAUUACUAUAUUCGUCAUGAUAACUCUCAUUAUGUCAUUAAAGCUUAAAAGUAAAUGGAUUUCUCUAUUUGUUUCACGAAUAAGGUCAAUUUAAAUGGGUUUGAAUGAGUCACAUUUAAUCAAUUGAACUUUAUGGGGUGUUUUGUGUGCAUUUGUUACGGACUUUGAUCUGCAGCCCAUUACAUUCUCCCCCAUCCAUUCUCGCAAUUCCUUUGUCUCGUCCUCGGUAUGACACUGUUUUGACUCAUCCUGAAAUUGUCUCAAUGCUUCGGCGGAUUCCUAACUAGUCUAUCUGUCAGGUUGUUUCGCCCCUUGUGACAUUUGCCUCGACUUAUAGCUUCAUUGUCGCCUAACUUGAACUGUUUCUCUUUUUAGUACAUAUUGUUCGUAAGAGCUUACUGUUCUUAGUUGCCUCCAUUGUGAUUUGUCUCUAUUGUGAUUUGCCUCGAUCGAAAUCCCCUUGAUCCUCACAAAUAGAAAUCCCCUUGAUCCUCACAAAUAGGCUUAGGCAUGCCCACAUUAAACACUGGGUUAAUCUUGAGUAUUGUCGUCAACUGUAGUUUGUAGGUCCCUCGACUUGCCCACUUCAAAUAUUUGAAAGGGCCAUUGUCUCUUUGCCAAGCCAAUAGUAAGUCAUAAUGUAAAACACUAGGAAAGUGUUUGAGAUCUACCUUACUCGUCACAUUUGCUUAGUUUGACUACUCAGUUUGCAUCACCACUCUUCCAACAAAGCUCCACGAACAAUCCACCUCUCUCAUAGAUGGUAGCCCUACUGAUAACUCAAUAGGCUUUAUAUUGGUUUGCCGCACUCUUAGUAUUUUCAAGGGGGUCUUCGUAGCACUCUGAUCUACCAAGUCAAUGUUCUUACCACGAUUAAUUUCCUUGGCUAGCUGGAUUGCUAAUAAUACCUUCGUUUCACUUGUAUGUGCAUUGUCAUUUACGAGUGUCCAAGAUACAUAUAUAAUUAGCAAAAGGAACCAACAAAACAUUAAUCUUGUCAAGAAAAUUCAAGCCAAGAACAAAGUCGUAAUUAUCUAAGUGAAUUACCUCGAAGUCUUCAUUGUAUUGAUCAAUCUAUAAAUCAACUCAUUGUGUUACUCCCACAAUUUGGAUUUCUUUAAAAUUUAUAGUCUUAGUCUUCUUAGUCGACUUGCUAACUAAGAAAUCAAGUUUACUUGUAACUUUAUCUUAUAUGAACAAAUCAGAUGUCCCCGUAUCAACAAGAGCACUCAUUCGGCCUGAUAUGUUAAUGUCCACAAACAUCAACCCUUUGUACUUGCGAUCUCUCUUUAUUUUAGAAGAAUUGAAUAUUCUUGACUCAAGCUUUAAAAUCUCACUUUUUGGCUCCACUUUUGCUUUAUUGAUCGCAGAUAUCUUAGAUUGCUCUAGACAUUCCAGCAUCUUAUGUAGGCCAUAGCAUAAGAAACACCUCACUGGUUUAUUUUCAUUUUUUCAGAUCCUUUUGGCUUCGACAAAGCUCAAGAUUGAACCAAGCUUUUGUUGGGACUGCCGAUACGCCUCGUAGCGCAACGAAAAAAAUGUUUCGACGAUCCUUAGUCAUGGAUCCAUAUACGAGGAAUUAAAUGGGUUGAAGUAAGGAUGAAGAUAUACCUUCUUAAAUGCAAAAUGAUGAAAGGAUGCUACUAAUUCGAUGUCAAUUCCAAGCCACAACAAAAACGUCUCGACCUUUACGUAGUCCACCCAGUAUUAAAAUAAACGGUAAAAACUCUCUUGGAAAUUUUCCAGAGAAAAUCUCCCACAAUAGUUGCUAGACUUUUUUUUCUUAUUUUCUUUUUAAAACACACUUACCCUAAUUCGAAAUUUUGGUAUGCAUAUAUUAAAAAUGGAAUCAAUUCUAUAGAGAACAUAUGAAAAACAUUAAACACAUUAUAUUCUUUCCAAAAAGAACUACAACAUAUGGAAGGUAUUAAAAACUUAUAUUCUUUCCAAAAAGAAUUAUAAUUACCAUAUUUCAAUGUUUUACCGAAAUCAUAAUUAUAAUAAUUUAUUAUAAUAAUUUCAGUAAAUUAUAUCCUGUUAAAAUUUUAUAUGAAUCAAAUUCAUAUAUUAAUUUUAACUAUGUUAUCUAUUUUUGUACAACAAGCUUGUACAUUUAAUUCGUUUAAUAUUUAAUUUUCAAAUUAAAUUAAAUUAAUAAUUAAUUUAAUUCAUGCGACAGCUAAAGACAAUACCAACUGUGUUUGGAUUUUGUUUGUUUUAACCAUAGGGUGUGACCAUGUAGGUUCUUGUAACAUUAGUAAUAAUACUAAAACAUUUCUAAUAAUACAAGCAAUGAGUGGCAUCUAGCAAUGCAUCAUUGCUACCUAAGUUACAAGAAGUCAUAAUUCGACAUAACUUUUUUAUGAUAAACCUUUCAUGUAUUACAUCCUUUUGUCCUUUAUAUCUAGAUUGGAAACAAAUCAUGGAAUAGUCAUACUUGCAUAAUCCAAUCUCAUGUUUCUUGAUAACUCGAGUAGACUACAAUAAACAAAUAAGUAUGAUAUCUCAUAUCAACUUAUUUGAGCAUGUUCAUGCAUUUCUAGUCUCACUCAAUCAAGUGACCUAAGAUAUUGCUCCCAUUAUGUAGGAGGGUCAAAUCCUAUAUUGAUAAACCAUAUCCCACUAUAUAUAUUGUGGCAUAUCCAACAUUAGUUUUUUCAGUACAACCUGUUAAAGUAAACAUUUAACUGUAUCAAAAUAUACGACUCACGAUGUUGGGAUAAUGAUGAUAUCAAGUCUGAGAAUCAUAUACAUAGUUAGCUCUAUGAGUAAUGUUGUGACUAUUACACAAUUAUCAAAUAAACAUACUCAUAGUGGGUCAGUCCAAUAUGUUGUUCUCUAGCACAUACCCAUGUAUUGAUUUUGACAUCCUUAUGUCAAUGACAACACUUUGUCAUCAAUCAACUACACAUUAGUUUAAAUGCAUUAUUGUUGUCCAAGUCCACAAUAAUACUUGACUAAGAACCUUUUAAAAAUAAUCAUAUUUUCUUAGGACUUUAUUACAAUUUAGUUUAUUUAUAAACAUAGAAAAAGAAACUGAAAUAAUAAUGACAAUACUUUAUAUUAAAAAAUAAGGUUAAACAAGUAUAUCAUUACACCCAUAUCAUAGUUGGUCUUUGGGCAUACUAUAAUAGCUUUAUUAGUGCUUUUUCUAACUCAUCAUCCCAUUUGAUGGUAGACAGAUUUUUUUGGAUAGUCCCUCACUAUAUAUGAACAGUUACAAAGGAAACAUUUCACUAGCUCCUUCAGUUUGUUGUUGGGCUUUCACUUCCCAUUAUAUGGUUUCCCUUACCACCAUUCUUACCAUUUUCAUUUUUUCCUUUUCUAUCAAGUUCUUUCUCGUGUUUUCCCCAAUAUUUCUCGUCCUUUUGGGCUUAGAAGAUUCAAACUCAUAUUUUUUCAGAUCAAACUCGACAAAAGACUCUAUAUCGGUCAUAUGUCAAGGGCUGUAGAUCAAAGCCUGUGACGACUGCGUACAAAAAGUCUUAUGGAGGUCAAUUGAUUAAAUGGGGCUCAUUCGACCCACUUAAUCUAGCCCGAUUCAUGGAAUAUGUAAAGAAGCCCAUCUAUUGAAGCAUUGGUGACCAAGUGAAACAUUUUAAAAAAUAGGGUUACUCUGGUAGGAAGGGAAACUAAUCUUCCAAGAUUUGUAAUAUUAGAAUAUUUGAUUUGUAAUCUUACGGGAUCAUGUAACUCCCUUAAGAAUCUCGAUCACCGGUGUAAAGUAAUCUGUAUCAUUAGAUUUGAGGGAGCUCAACUAUAAAUAGAGGUUUUUCCCCUCAUUUGUAAGCAUCCCAUUGUAUUCCAUUAAAAGUUAUAAAAUAUUUUUAAGAACAUUUACUUAAACACAUUGCGGGCAUUGCUUUCUUGUGGUUUUUUGUUCUUCCGUUACUAUUUUUUCUUUGAGUUGUUUACACUUUAUUUUUUAUGCCUUGAGAAUUUCUAUUGUGAACUUUCACUUUUCGAGAGUUAGGUUGACUUAGGCAAAUUUGAAAUCAAGAAAUCGCCUAAGGUCGCAUAGAUAAAAAGACUAAAGUUCUAGCCCUGUGACAGUUGAUAUUUGAGCUAAAGUUCGAAGGCACUGAUCAAGAUGACAAAAGGAGUAUAUGAUUAGAUUGAGCCAAUUGAGACCUGUGGGAGGGGCAAAAAAUCUAGUUGAUUGAGGGACAUGCUGUCAACUUUGAAAAGUCGAGUGAUCAAUUUCAAGGAAUCCAUUAAGGGUAUAAGGAAGACAUUUGAGAUAGUUGAGGGAUGCGUUGAUGAGUUAGACUCAAUGAAAGAGUAGCUCAGUGAAUUUUUACUGGAGUCACUCGCUUCCAAUGUAAAAAUGAUGCAAGGGGUGUUCAAUUUCAUAGUGAACAAUCUGAUAGUGAGGGAUGAUGCUUUCAAGGCCUCGGUGACAGCCUUGAAGGAACAUAUAAAGGAUCUCAAAGGGAAACUCUUUAUCUGCAAAGUUGUUUCGGGCAAUGAGAUGUUGGUUGUGACACCCAAGCAUAAGGUAAAUGUCCUCAAGUCGAAAGAGUUUACGAGGACAAGGUUCGCAAAGGAUGUGGCUAGCUUCUUUCUGGGAAUACAACAAUAUUUUCGUGCCAAAGGCAUCGUGGAUGAUGCUAUUAAGGUAGAUACUAAUGUUAUGUAUUUCACUGAUCUCGCUAUUUUAUGGUGGCAUCGUAGGUCCAUAGAUGAAAAACGUGGUGGAACUAAAAUUAUAACUUGGGAGGAGUUCCAAAAGGAAUUUAAGAGGCAAUUUUAUUGAGCGUAUGCAGAGGAUAAGGCUUGAACUAAGUUGUGCCGACUUAUGCAAUAAGGUACAAUUAGGGAGCAUGUUCAAGAGUUCAGUAAAUUCAUGCUCCAAAUUUUUUAUCUGAGUGAGGAGGCAUUUUUCUCUUUUAUGGAUGAGCUGAAGCCAUGGCAAAGUAAGAGUUGUAACACCGAGAAGGUAAGGACUGUACCAAAGCCAUGACUAUAGUGGAGUCUUUAAUUGAACUUGUUUCGAGGAAAGACAAGUUUGAGUCUUCCAAGCCCAAUGAGAAAGGUAAUGGUGGAGGAGAUAAGGGACUGGUUAAAAAUGACAAUGGUGGUAAUGAGAAACAACCUAAUGGGAAGUGGAGACCCAACAACCAUUCAAGAGACAAGGAGAAUGAAAAAAAUCCAAUACGUUGCUUCUUAUAUAGUGGGUCGUAUAAGAUCUGAGACUACCCAUAGUAGUCCAUGCUAUUUGUGAUUAGUAAAGAAGAUAAAGUGGAGCUUGAUGAGGAAAAUGUAUUAAGGUUUGGAUCAAUGAUACUCAAAUUUGCAAAAGCGAAGUGGGAUCACAAGCGAAAAGGGUUAUAUUUGUGGACAUCAAUAUCGCAAGUCGAAGGAGUGCUUUUAUUGAUACGUAGGCAUCUGAUUCAUAUCGGAGAAAUCCAUGGGUAAACUUGGUCUCUCAAUUAGCAAAUUGACUAAGAAGAUCAAAAUGAUAAAUUCCAAAAAGGUCCCAACUGUGGGAGUAGUAUAAGGGGUUGAGCUAUAAAUUGACGACUGAAAAGGUAAUAAAGAUUUUGAGGUAAUUCACUUAGAUGAUUACGACUUCGUGCUUGGUUUAAAUUUCUUUGACUAGAUAAAUGCUUUGUUGGUUCUUUUUUGUCGAUUCCUUAUGUAUUUUGGAUUUUCAUUAACGAAAAUGCAUGAUGCCGGUGAUUCGUGAUGAGAAAGAUGGGACCAAGGUACUGUAGGUAAUCCAGUUAGCCGAGGAUGUUCAUUGUGGAAAAAACAUCGACUUGGUAGAUUAGAGUCCUACGAAGAGCCCGUUGGAAAUGCUAGCGGUGUGAGAAACUGAUAUGAACCUUGUUGAGUUAUUAAUGGGGCUUUGAGGAAAAAAGUAGUGAUACAAAUUAGGUAGUCAAGAAGAGUAAAUGUAAUGAGCGAGGAACAUUUCAACCCCUUUCAGAGUUAUAAAACGGGUAAGUCGAGGGGCUUACAAACCGGUUGGCGAGAGAAAUCAAUGUUAGCCCAGUGUUUAAUGUGGGCAUACCGAAGCCUAUUUGUGAGGAUCAAGGGGAUCCCGAUGGAGGCAAGUCACAAAGUGGACAAGUAAGAGUGGUGGGCUCUUGCAAACAAAAUGCAGCAAGGAGAGAAAUAAUUUGAGUUAGGUAAAGGUGAAAUUCAAGGCAAAUAUUUUGAGGGGUUGAACUACUCGACAGAGACUAGUUGGGAAUUGGUUGAGGUAUUGAGGUAGUUCCAAGACGAGUUAAAUCAGUGUCAUUCUGAGGUCACAACGAGGGCAUUGCAAGAAUGGGCAAGGGAGAAUGUCACGAGUUACAAAUCAAAGCCUGUGAUGAAUGCACACAGAACGUUCCACAAAGGCCAAUUGAUCAAAUGGGGCUCAUUUGACCCACUUGAACUUGCGCAGUUUGUGGAAUAUGCUAAGAAGUCCAUCUACUUAAAGCCUUGGUGGCCAAGUGAAACACUUAAGAAAAAUUAGGGCUACCAUGACAAAUAGGGAAACUAACAAUCUCAGAAAAUUUGAUUUUGUAAUAUUAGGGGACAUGUAAGUCCUUAAGAAUUUCAAUUGUAGAUUGACUUUAAUCUCGACUGUGAUGGAAAGUAAACUGCACCGUUGAAUAUGGGGGAGCUGAACUAUAAAUAGAGUCUUUCUCCCUCAUUUGUAAUCAUCUCAUUGUAUCCCAUUAAAAAUUAUAAAAUACUUUUGAAAGCAUUUAUUCAAACAUCUUGUGGGCGUUGCUUUCUAAUAAUCUAGAAUAUAGAGUUAUCUUCAUCACUUUUUAACAUAUAAAUUAUCCAAAUUUUAAGUACUUGAAAACAAUUUUUAUAUUUUUUAUUCAUAAUUAUGUUAUAUUAAGCAAUACUACGAAAAUGUGUUAUUUUAACUAAUUAUUAUGCCAAACACAUGGUUUUUCAUCUUUUUGAGGAGGUAAUUGUGUUGGGAAAAAUCUGGUUUGAAAAUAGUUUUCUUGCACAGAGAAAAUUUUAAAAUUUGAAAAGUAACCCAAUUUGUGAUAUUUAUAGCAAUAAACAUUCACUAAAUUUGUACCUGUGUUUUUGGAUAAACGGAUCCUUGAUGUUUUUUAGCUUUUAAUCAAACGAUUUUCUCCUCUAUUCUUGUACCACAAACUAUUUCAAUUGUAGGCUCCAACCAAUUGAAUCAAAGCAUAGAACUAGAAAAAGUUUUCCUUUUGGGGUAAAAAUGAAAAUUCCCUCUUCUUUAAUAGAAAUCGGUAAAAUAUUUAUUUUGAAAAAUAUAUUUAUAAGUUGAUAAUAUAUUCUCUUUAUUUUUCGACAGAAUAACAAUAUCUCAAAAGUUGUGUUAAUAGCUCUAUCGGUGCCAUCUAUUUAUAGGAAGAGAAGGUAGAAUCCUUGUAGAAAUGUUAAUUUUAAAUAGAAAAACAAUAUCCUACUUAGAGUAAGAGAGAAAUGAACAACUCACCCUUGUAUUUCUACUAAGUUUGCAGUAUUUUAAAUAAAAAAACAACAUCCUACUUCAUGUUGUAUUAAGGGUUUUGGGUCACUCUCACACCAGUUUCAAUUACGAGUACUUCCUGGGUCUUUUUGACCUAGUACUCUGUAAUGUAAUCAAAUCUGAUUCAGUUUUUCUAUUUUCCAAAAUAAAAUUUAAUAUUUAUAUAUUAAAUAAUUUUUCUCAUCCCAAUUUUACUUCAAUAAAAUUUUGACGACUUAUCCCCAGUAAAAUUUUUACGAUUGUACCCUCGGUAAAAUUUCAAGAAAAUUCAUUAAAUAUGUCACAACUCAUUCAUAUGAUCCAAUGAUUUAUUUCAUUUUCAGGUUUCAAAACAAUCCAAAAAUAUAAAUUCAUUAUUCCAUCAUUUUUUAAGUAAUCCUGUAUAGGAUUGCAAAUUUCUAUUUUGACCGACUCUGGAUGUACUAACGUCUAAAGUGUGAAUACUACAUCAAAAGAUAUAGAUAUAUGAGGCGGCAUCCAGAAUACGGGUCCAGUUGUAAUAUAGUUACAACGGAGUAGGUGAGUACUCCGGGAUUGUACCCAAGGGAGGCGAAUGCUAGAUCAAUUUUAACCUAAACAUCGAAAGAUCUAAUUAGUACUUUAAUUUAGUUAUAGUACGAUGGUAAAAUAAAAUAUAGUUUUUAAGAUUAUUUUAUAAUAACAAAAUAAAAUAACAUAAUGAAACAAAAUUCAAGAGAUCAAAGAAUAGGAUAAAUCAAAUCUGCUUAUGGGUGAUUAGCUCACUUUGGUAUUUCCCAUAAACUGUUGCUUUGGGUUUGUCGCCAAUCAACUAGUCGUUAUCCCAGUAGGAUCUUCCAAUCUUUCACUCAAAUAACGAGUCAGCAAGAACUACUUAUCUUCUGACGACACAGUCCAGACUGGUUUUGGGUGAAGGUGUUCACGGAUAGGUCAUAACAAUUUUGGGUUAAUUCCUACCUUGAUUAAUUCUUAGGGUUGGCAGGCCUAGGGUUUUAAAUUCUUCCUUUCUUAAAUAGAUGAUCCGUUGACUAACCCUACAAAAUAGUUAAUGGAUCAUACCUUCGCUCGCCAAUCCCCUAUAGAAGGAUUGGUUCUUAAUUUUUUUCAUAAACAAUAUGAAACUCAUGUAAAGAGAAAACAUGAUAAAUGAAUUGAAGUGUAAAUUUUAAGAAAACUCCUAAUUUGUAUUAAUAAUAAAUCAACUCCAAAAAGUCUGUCUGUUUCCACAAAUUAGAUCUCUCAAGAUAAAUAAGAACAACUUGAAAAUAAAUUUAAAACAUAAAAAGGAAGAAAAGCUAAACUAAAAUUAAAAGCAAAAAACUAAGCUAAGUAAUUGGUGUCUUUUACAUAUGACAAAGGAACCUAUUUAUAGAUCUCAGGUGGUCGUCGUCCUUAACCCUAGGUUUAGCUGACAUUCCUUGGCUUUGAGUUUGAUUUUCUGAACCAAAACACCCCUUGACCAGUGUUAAUUGUUGUCUAGAGUAUUGGGAAAUGUGACUAUAUUGUAAUAAACAUGUAACUUUUUUCUAUUUAUUUGAACGAUGAAUAAAUAAAAUUAAUUUCACAUUUCACUAUUAUGUCUUUUAUAUGUUGCAUGCAUAACGAAAUUGUGAGAAGCCAAUAUUAGCUCAUUGAUUGUCUAAAUUUCAAAUUGAAGAAAAUUGGCAUUGUAAAGAACGUUUACAUUGCGGGAAAAACAACUUACUUGAACAGAUAAUCUAAAUGAGUUCGUAAUCUCGUAAAAGAAUCAAAGUGAGCAUUUGAUUCAAAUACUGAGAAAGAUUAUUAUGUCGACUACAAUUCCAAUUGGGGAGAUGGCUAGUCUUAGCUAUCGGAGCAGUUGACUCUAAGAGUAGAGACAUUGAUGUAUUCAUUGAUAGAAUGAUACAUUGGAGUGGACCCAAGAUGAAUUAAUUCUAAAUCUGUUUGUGAAUUAAUUCACUUGUAAUGAUCAUGGUAUGAUUUACCUAAAUCCUAAAUUAGUCACUGACCAUACGUAUGCAACUCAUGUGUUUUGAUAUAAGUGAAGGCUUAUGCUUUUAAGAUGAUCGAGCCAUAGUCGGUAUGUUUGGUACAUGACUUGUAUAUGGCAUGGCUUUACUAGCAACAGUGGAAUUCAUAGCUUAGUUAAAGAGUUAAUGAUAUCCUCUUAUUGGAAUUGUGUGGAUUAAUAAAUAUGGAACAUCGUUACAGGUUGCUUGUUCUCAAACUAGCAAUUUAUCAAAGUCAUUUGUUGACAGUGAUCAUAUUAAUCAUUAAGAAGACACAAUGCUGACAAUAAGAUAAAAUAGGAUUGUAUUGAGUGAACGGAUUUAACUCAAAUGAAUUAAUGAUAUCAUAUAAGGGUAACACACACAUGACAAGGUCAUUAGACAAAGCAGUUGAAUGAAUUGCUUUCAUAAAGAGUAUAUAAUAAGGGGUUUUCAAUCAUGGUACUUCUUGUGGACAGACUCCAUGAUUAAGUAGCUGUUAAUUAUCGGAACGAUGCUUCUGGACAUAAUUGCAAUCACUAGAGCCUAAUUGUAUAUGUCUAAUUGGUCCCUCUACUAGAUCAACAAGAGCUCGACCGGACUACAUUUGAAUUAGAAGAAAAUUCUACAACUUUUCAAAUAAUUUAAUUGAGUCAAUUUAUUCGAUGUGGAAUUCAAUUAGGUGGUCGUAAGAAUUGUUCAACUAGAGAAUUUGAUUAAAGAAUUUUCUUGAAAAAUUAAUUUGGAAAAUCUAUGUGAUUUUUGGAAAAUUAAUUUUGAUCAAGUGAACUUAAAUUAAUCAAAUCAAUUAAAAUUAAUAUGAUAUUUUUGAAGUUUAUUUUCAAGUCAGACAAUUGACGCAAUGGGUAAUUGAACUUGCAAAUUGGACUUGAGAUCAUAAAUUAGGCCCGGGAGCCUAAAGCCGAAACCAAGACCCAAAAACUGGUCGAAUUAGGCUAAGUAUGUGAAAAAGGGCCAACCAUCCAACAAGUGGCUAGAUCGGACUGAUUGGGUCAUCAUUGACUCGGACCAAAUCGGCAAUAACCGAAUUGGCUCGGGAUGUCGUAAGUAGAGGUGAGCAAAAUUUGAUUCGACUCAAAAAAAUCGAAAAAAACUUGAAUUUCGAGUUAAACAAUCGAGUUAUUCGAGUCAACUCGAAUUUUUUUCUAAUUUCGAGUUCGAAUCGAGUUGAGUUUUCGAAUUCGAAUAACUUAAGUAAUUCGAAUAAUUCGAAUAUCAAACUAUAAUAUUUUACAUUUCUCUCAAACCUUUUUACUUUUCUCUCAAAACUUUUACUCGUUCCAACUUUCCCCCUAAAACUUUACUCUCCUCCCCUCUCAUCCCAACCCCCCAAUCUACCCAAAAUCUAUUUCCUACCAAAUUUUUACUCUCCCAUUUACUUUUUCUCAAAAUUUUACUUCCAAAAACCGUUAAAAAUUUUUAUUUUUCUCCAAAAUUUUUACUCCCUCCCACUUUCCCACUAAAACUUUUACUCCAUUCCCAUCCCACCUCCCAUCUACCCCAAACCCAUCCCCCCCCCCCAAUUUUUUUUUAAUAUUUUCCCUCCAAAAUUUUACUCCCCCAUUUACUUUUACUUCUCACCCUUUGCUCUCAAAUAAAAAAUCAACAUUAUCCAAGAAAUAUCACUAAACAUAAAUAGUAAUAAUUUUAUUUAUAUAUACUAUUUAUAUUAUUAAAUUAAAUUUUACAUUUUACAUUAUUUAUAUUAUUGAAUUGUUUAGUCAUAUUGAAUAUUUAUAUUAAAAUUGAUUUAUUAAUUAUGCCAUAAAAUAUUUGUGCAAAAAUUUUAUAUUGGUAUCAAUUUCACAUUUUAUAUUUAAAAUAAAUUUUUUUAAGAAAUCAUAUUUUUACAUUUAAUAUAUUUUUUAAUUUCAAAAUACAUAGUGACAAGAAUCUGAAGAUAAUUGAAACAACUAAGCAAGCAAAUAAGCUAACCCAUAUAUAAAAGAUUAAUAAAUAAAUUAUGAGGUGAUGAAAGUUAAUAAAAAAUUUGAUUAAAGUGGACAGAUUUUAUUAUGAUGGGUGAUAGUAGUUACAAGGACCCAAAAUUAUUUUUCAAAAUUUAACUCGAACAAAUAUAUUCGAUUCGAUUCGAUUAGAAUUUCAUCUCACUCGACUCGGUUCGAGAAAAUUUCAAAGCAAAUUAGGAUGAUAAAAUAUGAUUCGUCAACUUUAUUAACUCAAAUUUUUUUCAUUUGAUUCGAUUCGAUUUGAUCGAACGCUCACCCCUAGUCGUAAGGGUGUCGCACCUGCAUCACCAGACACGGCGGUGUUGGUGGCUGCGACGGUGGCAUCCCGAUGGCCGGUGGUGAUUGGUCGUUGGUGGUUGAGCAGUGGAUGAGUUACACUCCUACUGGAAUUCUAAUGGAUAAUUUAAUUUCAGAUUAAUUAUGUAACACCCCACGCCGAUGCCCUACGCCGGGACGGAAUACGAGGUAUUACUAAACUUAAACACAUGCAUUUCCAACGUUUUCAAAUCAUCAAGCUUGAUCAGAUUUAAAACUUUUUCAAACUUUGUCUAAACUCCUUAAUAUAGGCCUACGAGGCCCUAAACAUCCAUUGAAAACCAUUCAGGACCAACCCGGGUCCUUUAACUAACAUUAGAAAAAAAACUCAUGAAACAGGGUACACGCCUGUGUGGAAGGGCAACACGCCAUUGUGGUCACUAUAACAUGGCCGUGCUGAUGGCCUGUGUGACACACAUGACUUAAGCAUCUAGGGACACGCCUGUGUCCCAUACCGUGUGAAUUAAAUUCUAAAUUCAAAUUUACAGGGGUUUUCACACGGCCUGACACACGCCUGUGUCUUUCAUACGGCCACGACACGCACGUGUCCUAACCCGUGUCUAAAAAUCUUGACAUUCUGUUUCUGACGUCAGCAACCCUUAAGGGUCACACAGCCAAGGCACACGUCCGUGUGCUAGGCCAAGCCCUUCACACAGCUGAGACACACGGUCAUGUCUCUGCCCGUGUGUUUACUACCAUGCAUAUUGACUUGUAAAAUUUACGUGCAGGGGACACACGACCAUGUAACACGCUCAUGGGGUUGACCGUGUGUCACACACGGCCUAGACACACGCCCGUGUGUCUACUUGUGUGGAUAAUAUAAGGCUAUUUACCAAGCCCUAUGCCACCCUAAAACAAAAUUUUAUACCGACCAACAUAGCAAAGUCUAACUUAAUAUGAUUUCUCAACCAACUACCAUAGCUAAGGCCUAUAUACAUUUCAUAUAUUCAACCAUGCCAACAAUUUCACUUUCAUGAAAGACUAUCUUGCAUUCAUAUAAUGACUUUCAAAAUUAGCCAUUUUCAUGGCCUUAUAAAUAAGUCAAAUACUAAAACAAGCCAACACAUUUGGGCCCAAAACAAUGUGACACCAAAAUUUAAUAAAAAGUUCCUAUACAUGCCAUAAUCAAAAUGAUAAAACCAGAUAUAAUAAGUGCUUCAAGGAUAGUGCGGCUGGCUUCCCCAAAGUAGACAAUGAUCUACAAGCUACUUUGGCGGCACUAUAAGAAAAUAGAAAGGAAAGAGGGUAAGCAUGGGAACUUACUAAGUACAUAUAUGCAAAUAAGUGUAAUUAAAAAAAACACAUUCAUCAAACAAUGGCUUAUCAUACUUAAUGAUAUAUCAUUUUAAGCUCACUAUCUUACUCUUCACUUCCUUUAUGCAUACUUACUACAUCUCAUCACACACUAAGGUCUUGUUCAUAGGUUUAGUAUACAUACCUGUAAUCAUCCAUAAAAUAUCUCAAUUUCAUUCUCUCUAAUAACAUACCUCAUUGAAAAUUUCCCCAACUCAUUCUUCAAACUACCAGUUGAACACUCGAAAUACUAAUGGAUAUAUGGAAAGUUAACACUUAAAUGUCGUAUGAGUAGUCAGAGCUACCUCAUACUUUGUAAUGCUAGCAUUUUGAGUUACUCACGGGCCUUUUUGCCAUGUCAGUACCCAAACCCGAUAACUCUCUCAUGUAAUGCCCACUCAUUGAGCUACUCACAGGUCUACACUCAAGAUCAGUACCCGGACCCAUAUUACAUAUAACAUUUAUCUCAUGAACUCAGACAUAACUCAUGAGUUCAGACCAUAUAGUUCCUCAUGCCAUACCUUUUGUAUCCUAUACUAUUUCUAAGGUUCAACAAGAUUUCAUAUUUAACCUGAUGUCGUUGUACUUAUUCAUCAUGUAGAUUACUGUUAUAUCACAAUGUUUAUGCCUCUAUGGUAACAAGUAAGAUUAUAAUACAUGAUAACAAUAAAAUGUUUAAAAACAAGCUACAAUGACAUAUUAUUUACAUAUGUACUUACCUCGACACAAAAUGAUUGGAACGAGCCUUGUAACAUCUCGAAAUAGGGCUUAAACGGAAUAGUGGUUGUGAAACCACAAAUCCGAGGUAGAAAAUUUAUUUUAUUAUUAUUUUGAGGUUCAUGGUAUGAUUGCAUGAUUGUAUGAAAAUUUCGUGAUGAAAUUCUAUGCAUAAAGUGCUUAAGUUGAGGUUAGGGACUAAAUCGAAUAAUUUGCAAAACUUGCAUUCUAGAAGUUUUUAGUAUGAAAUUACUUUGGAAUAUUAAUUAGGAGGGUUUAAAUAAAAAUUUGACCAAUUUUAAGUUCAUGGACAAAAAUUAGGACAUGGAAGGAAUUUUUGAAAGUUUAGUAAGGAGGGGUAAUUUGGUCAUUUGGAUCUUAAAUGAAUUAAAAAGGGAAAAAUAACACAAAAAUGGUCAUCUUCUCAAUUACUUUCUGCCGAUUUUUUCUCUCCUCCAUAGCUGGGGUUUCUUCAACUUUCACGCUUCAUAGUAAGUGAUUCCAAGCCCCGUUUUUAAUGAUCUUUACGUUUUUUGAGUCCCGGUAACUUGAUUAAGCUUAUUCUAGCAAUAAUUCAACCUAGGGUUCAUAUUUGGAAAAAUACCCAUGGCUGAAAUUUGUGUAUUUUGGUGUUUUAUGAUAGAAUAUGAGGUUUUAAAUUAUGUUAAACAACUUAUGCUACUCGGUUUUAAGUGAAAACGAGUAAAAUUGCUUAAAUUGGAAAAAAAAUACCAAUAGUCAUAAGUAUAUGUUAGAGUGUGAUUUUGAUAUUGCCAUAGAAGGGAAAAAUGAUCAGCAUGUCAUAAAACAUAAGAAAAUAGGAUGAAGUUUAAUUUACGAGCCUUGGGGCAAAAGUGCAAAUAUGUGAAAGUUUAGGGGUAAAAAUAUAAUUUUGCAAAAGUUGGGUCAAGGAAUGUUUUAAUAAAUGUGAAUAUUAAAUAAGUUAAAUUUGCUAUUAUAGAUCAAGAAGAACGAAAUUCGGGAGUAGAUCGGGGAAAAGAAAAAGUAAAGGACUAAAUUGUAAAGUUUAGUCACAUUUUGUAUCAAGGUAAGUUACAGUAAAUAAAUGCAAUAUUCUUUUAUUUUACAUUAUUAUUUUCAAUUUCCAGCAUUUUUAUAUUAUGUUAUGAAAAUAUUUAAAGUCGAAUUUAAGGUGAAGUGACAGAGGAAAAGUGUAAGAAAGCCCCGGUUGAACCCUAGGAAUGUUAGGAUAUUAGGGUUGACAGGACAGAACAGAAAUGAGCCAUGUAAGUCCAUAUUAGAAAUAUGGCUUUGGAGACAGGAUUGAGCCGUGUAAGUCCAUAUUAUAUAUGGCAUUGGAGACAGGAAUAAGUCCAUGUCAAAGAUAUGGCAUUGGCAGGAUAUUGAUAGACAGGAACGACCCUAGUAUCCUUAGUAUUCCGAGUGGUUCAACGGGUCAGGAUACGAGUUAAAUUACAGUGAAUUAACAGCAAAGGAAAAGUAGAUUAUACUUCUGAAAAAGGAAAAGUCAGGUAAGAAAGAAGGUAAGGGAAUAAAGAAGAAGAUAGAAAUUGAGAAGUAAAGAAAUUUAUGAUGUUAGAUGAUAUUAUGCAUAAUUAUCCAUUAUGUUGAAUGUUGUGAUUUAUUUGCUUGUAAGAUUACCAAGCCUAGUGCUUAAUCUCUUUAUUUUCUUCUUCUUAUAGUACUUAUCUAGUCACUCGGGGAUCGAAGGAAACGUCGGAGGCCGAUCACACUAUCAAAGAAAUAACUCGGUAUAACUAGACGUUUUGUUUUGGGUAUGGCAUGUAUAGAAACUUAGCUACUUUUGGUAUAAUAUGAACAAUGAAUGAUGUGUAAAUACUUGCUAGUGAUUAGCUAAUAAAAUAACCGAUGAUAUACAUGUUUAUUAAUAUGUAUGAUUGAAUGAUGAUUAUCACAUGAAAAUUAUGAAAAAUGUGAAAGUAACCUAAAAACAGAUUCAAGUAACAGAAAUGACGUAACUUAGAAAAAUCACUAAAAAUUGUAGAAACAUAUUUUGAAGAUGAAUAAUAUAUGAAAUUAAAGCUUAUUAUGUAUAUUUUCUUAUGGAAUAAGCAAAACAGGUAAAGGUAUUAUAUUUUAUGAGAUAUCUGAGUUUUAGUAAAACAGGGUCAGAGCAAUUUCUGAUCCCCUAUUUCAAAUUUGGAAAUUCACCAUAAAUUUGAAUCUAGUUUUGAGAGAAACAAACGGCUUAGUCAUAUGAAUUUUGUACAGGAAGAAACAUGGUUCGUAGUAAGAAGAGGUCAGUGCAGUCGAGUUUUGAAACAGGGGAAACUUUAACUAAUAAACUGUACUAAUUGGUCAAGUAAAAAAUUCUAGAAAAAAAUUAGUAGAUAGAUAUAUGAGUAUAGUUUCAGGAAAAAUUUACGGAUCUAAGUUUUGAGUUUUGAAACUUGAGAAAUGGAUUUUUAAGCAACCAUGACGCAGAAAAACAGUUUAUUCCAAAAAUUAAAAUAAGUGGUUUAGAGUUGUUUAAAAGGUAAGAUAAGUUUAGUAGCACCUCAAGCUUGACUCCGGUGACGGUUUCGGGCGUGGGGGUGUUACAUUUAUUGGUAUCAGAGCAGGUUUAGUCGGUUCUCGGAACAGUUAGUGUGAGAAAAAGUCUAGGUAUGCAUGCCAUACUUGUAUUUUGAUAGUGUGACGACUCCUGACGAUUUUUAAAUAUUUUGUUUUAUAGUAAUAGAUCCCGGACGAGCUGGUGAUGAUGAUGUAGAAAGUAAUGCGCCUGCUCCCACAGAAGGGGCAGCGCCAUCUGAGAAUAGGCCAGUAAUAGUUGAUCAGGGAGGAGUGACUCGAGAAGCUCUCUUCCGAGCUUUGAAUGAUUUGUUUGUCGAGUUUGUUCGUACGAAUCCGGCAGUUAGACCUCCACCCUCUCAUGAUUCUUAGGCUAUCCAUGUAGUUCAAGCUUCCCCAGUCACAAGUACAGUGGUAAGAGAAAAGCCACCAGUUGAUAGAAUCAGGAAACAAGGGGCAGAAGAGUUUCGAGCAACAAAAGAUGAUGAUGCAGAAAGAGCAGAAUUUUGGUUAGAAAAUACUAUCAGAGUCUUUGACGAAUUAUCUUGUACACCCGAGGAAUGUAUGAAAUGUGUAGUAUCACUUCUUAGAGACUCAGCCUACUACUGGUGGAAGACACUUGUAUCUGUUGUACCAAAGGAGAGGGUCACUUGGGAUUUCUUUCAGGAGGAAUUUCGUAAAAAGUACAUCAGUCAGAGGUUUAUUAACCAGAAGAGAAAGGAAUUCCUGGAAUUGAAACAAGGUACUACGACAGUGAUCGAUUAUGAGCGCGAAUUUGUCAGGCUUAGUAAAUAUGAUUUAGAAUGUGUGUCCAGAGAGGCUAUCAUGUGUAAAAGGUUUGAGGAUGGGUUAAAUGAUGAUAUCCGACUGUCAGUGGGUGUCCUAGAAAUAAAAGAGUUCUUUAUUUUAGUUGAGAGAGCCUGUAAGGCAGAGGAGCUGUUAAAAAGAAAUGGCAAAGUUGAGACAGAGACACAAGAUACAAAGAAGAGACAGAUGAGCAGAUCAUUUCAGGCUACAUCCAAGAGGCCCAAAGAGUUUUCUACCAGAUCUAGCUUUUCGGCAGGGCAAUCUAGUCAGAAUAGAGGUAGCAGAUUUAAGGAUCCGAAGGCUCAGACCACCUCGACUACGAGUGUAGGUAAUGUCAGACAGGGUAGAUCAGGGUGUCCACGGUGUGGUAGACUUCAUUAUGGUCCUUGUCGGGCAGGCAAAAAUGUUUGCUAUAAAUGUGGUUCUUUAGAUUAUUUUGUACGAGAAUAUCCAAAAGUGGCUAGCCGAGAAGUAACACAGAGUGCUAGAUCCGGAAAUGCUCCUUCUAGAGGCAGAUCACCGAGGCAACCGGGAGUAGGAGCAAGUAACAGAGGUACCUCUAGAGAUUCGGUGGUGAGACCAGAUGUUAGAGCCCCUGCAAGGACUUAUGCUAUUCGUGUACGCGAAGAGGCAUCCUCCCCCGAUGUGAUUGCGGGUACAUUUUCUCUACAUGAUAUUAAUGUCAUUGCUCUGAUUGAUCCGGGUUCGACUCAUUCUUAUGUUUGUAUGAAAUUGAUGCCUAGUAUAACUAUGCCUAUAGAAUCUACAGAAUUUGUGAUUAAAGUAUCGAAUCCAUUAGGCAAGCAUGUAUUAGUAGAUAAAGUAUGUAGAAAUUGUCCUUUAAUGAUUAGAGGCUACUGUUUUCCGGCUGAUCUCAUGCUAUUGCCAUUUGAUGAGUAUGAUGUGAUUCUUGGUAUGGAUUGGUUGACUACACAUGAUGUGAUAGUGAAUUAUGGAAAAAAAUUUAUUGAGUUGAAGUGUGAAAAUGGUGAAAUUCUUCGGGUUAAUUCAGAAGAGUCAGAUAGUUUAUUUCCCAUAAUUUCUGUUAUGAAGCCUAUCUUGAUUUUGUGUUGAACACUAAAGAUCCAGAAUUGAAAAUUGAAUCAGUGCCUGUGGUAUGUGAGUUUCCCGAUGUGUUUCCGGAAGAACUACCAGGUUUGCCUCCUGUUAGAGAAGUUGAGUUUGGUAUUGAGUUGAUUCUAGGUACCACUACCAUUUCUAUUGCUCCUUAUAGAAUGGCUCCGUUGGAAUUGAAAGAAUUGAAAGCAGAGUUGCAGGAAUUAACAGAUAAAGGCUUGGUAAGACCCAGUAGUUCACCAUGGGGUGCACCAGUGCUAUUUGUGAAAAAGAAAGACGGAUCGAUGAGAUUGUGCAUAGAUUAUCGGCAACUUAACAAGGUAACAGUAAAGAACAAGUAUCCAUUGCCUAGAAUUGAAGAUUUGUUUGAUCAAUUGAAGGGAGCUACUGUGUUUUCCAAGAUAGAUUUGAGAUCCGGAUACUAUCAGUUGCGAGUUAAAGAGUCAGAUGUCCUGAAGACUGCUUUCUGAACUAGGUAUGGUCAUUAUGAAUUCCUUGUGAUGCCAUUUGGCUUGACUAUUGCUCCUGCCAUUUUCAUGGACUUAAUGAACCGAAUUUUCAGAUCGUACUUAGAUAAGUUUGUAGUUGUGUUCAUUGAUGAUAUUUUGAUUUAUUCUCAUGAUGAGACUGAGCAUGCAGAGCAUUUGAGAACAGUUUUAUAAAUUCUAAGAGAUAAUCAGUUGUAUGCCAAGUUCAGCAAAAGUGAGUUCUGGUUACGAGAAGUUGGUUUUCUUGGACAUAUUGUCUCAGGUGAAGGUAUUAAGGUUGAUACGAGCAAGAUUUCAGCUAUUGUUGAUUGGAAGCCUCCUAGAAAUGUAUCAGAAGUUAGAAGUUUUGUUGGUCUUGCCAGAUAUUAUAGACGAUUUGUGGAGGGAUUUUCCAUGAUAGCUACUCCGUUGACGAGACUGCUACGGAAGGAUGUUAAGUUUGAAUGGACUGAGAAGUGCCAACAAAGUUUUGACAAGUUAAAGGCAUUGUUGACGGAAGCUCCUAUCUUAGUACAGUCGGAACCGAGUAAAGAAUUUGUGAUUUACAGUGAUGCAUCCUUGAAUGGGCUCGGUUGUGUACUCAUGCAGGAAGGAAAGAUAAUUGCUUAUGCCUCUAGACAAUUGAAGCCACAUGAGAAAAAUUAUCCGACACAUGAUUUAGAGCUAGCUGCUAUUGUAUUUGCAUUGAAGAUUUGGAGACAUUAUUUGUAUGGUGAAAGGUGCCGGAUAUUUACCGAUCAUAAAAGCUUGAAAUACUUGAUGACUCAAAAAGAUUUGAAUUUGAAGCAAAGAAGAUGGUUGGAAUUGCUUAAGGAUUAUGAGUUAGUGAUUGAUUAUCACCCAGGUAAGGCAAAUGUAGUUGCUGACGCUUUAAGUAGGAAACUUUUAUUUACAUUGCGAGCUUUGAAUACCAAUUUAGCCAUGUCAGAUGAUGGUUCUAUUUUAGCUGAAUUGAGAGCUAAAUCGGUAUUUCUUGAAGAGAUUUGUGAAGCUCAGAAAGAUGAUAAUGAGUUACAAGCUAAAAGAGUUCAAUGUGAGUCAGGCAUAGAAUCAGAUUUCUGGAUUGGUUCUUAUGGUUGUUUGAUGUUUAGAGACAGAAUAUGUGUACCAAAGAAUGAUGAGCUUAUUCGGAAGAUUUUACAGGAAGCACAUAGCAGUCAUUUAUCUAUUCAUCCAGGCAGUACAAAAAUGUAUAAUGAUUUGAAGAAAUUGUAUUGGUGGGUAGGAAUGAAAAGAGAUAUUUCGGAGUUUGUUUCUACAUGCUUGAUUUGUCAACAGGUAAAGGCUGAACAUCAGGUACCCUCAAGAUUAUUGCAGCCUGUGCUAGUUCUGGAAUGGAAAUGGGAUCUAGUUACUAUGGAUUUUGUGACAGGAUUACCGUUUACACCGAGAAAGAAAGAUGCAGUAUGGGUUGUGAUUGAUAAGUUAACGAAGUCGGCUCAUUUUAUCCCAGUUUGUAUGGAUUAUUCACUUGACAAGUUGGCCGAGUUGUAUAUUUCAGAGAUGGUCAGGCUACAUGGGGUACCAUUAUCGAUCAUUUCAGACAGAGAUCCAAGAUUUACUUCAAGGUUUUGGAAGAAAUUACAAGAGGCUUUGGGCACAAAGUUGAGUUUUAGUACAGCUUUCCAUCCUCAAACCGACGGUCAGUCAGAGAGAGUUAUUCAGGUACUUGAAGAUAUGCUUAGAUGUUGUGUAUUAGAAUUUCAAGGUAGUUGGGAAAAAUACUUACGAUUGGUAGAGUUUGCCUAUAAUAAUAGUUACCAGUCAAGUUUGAAGAUGACACCUUAUGAAGCUUUGUAUGGACGUAAAUGCCGUACACCUUUAUAUUGGACAGAGCUUAAAGAAAGCCAGAUUUACGGGGUUGAUUUAGUUAAAGAAAUAGAAGAAAAAGUGAAAGUUAUCAGAAAUUGUUUAAAAGCAGCUUCAGACAGGCAUAAGUCGUAUGCAGAUUUAAAAAGAAAAGAGAUCGAAUGUCAAGUUGGUGACAAAGUUUUUUUGAAAGUAUCCCCGUGGAAGAAAGUUCUCAGAUUUGGCAAGAAAGGCAAACUAAGUCCAUGUUUUAUUGGACCGUUUGAAGUAAUUGAGAGAGUCGGACCAUUAGCAUAUCGGUUAGCUUUGCCGAUUGAGUUAGAGAAGAUUCAUAAUGUAUUUCAUGUGUCUAUGCUACAUCGUUAUCGUUCAGAUCCGUCACAUGUGAUUUCUCAGACAGAGGUUGAGAUUCAGCCAGACAUGACUUACGGUGAAGAACCGAUAAAGAUUCUAGCUCGAGAGGUAAAGCAAUUAAGGAAUAAAAGUAUUGCAAUUGUGAAAGUACUAUGGAAUAGACAUGGGUAGAUGAAGCUACAUGGGAACCCGAAGAGGCUAUGCGAAAACAGUACCCAAAUCUCUUCACAGGUAAGAUUUUCGGGACGAAAAUCCCUAAAAGGGGGAAGAAAUGUAACAUCCCGAAAUAGGGCCUAAACGGAAUAGUGGUUGUGAAACCAUAAAUCCGAGGUAGAAAAAUUUAUUUUAUUAUUAUUUUGAGGUUCAUGGUAUGAUUGCAUGAUUGUGUGAAAAUUUGGUGAAGUAGUCGAUAACCACAAAGAUGAACCGAUGCCCAUUGAAAGCUUUCGGUGUUAUUGGUCCAAUCACAUUUAUGCCCCACAUAGAGAAUGGCCAUGGGGAAACCAUGACAUGCGGCGGUGAAUGAGGUACAUGAAUUUUGUCUCCGUAGAUUUGGCACUUAUGGCAUCUCUUGGCGUAAUCGACACAGUCUCCUUCCAUGGUAGACCAAUAGUACCCGAAUCUCAUAAUUUGCCUGGCCAUUGUAAAACCAUUAGCGUGUAUCCUACAGACGCCUUCAUGGACUUCUUCCAAGAUUUUCUUAGCCUCUACAGCGUCUACACAUCUUAGUAGCACUUGAUCCUUUCUUCUUUUGUAUAGGAUAUUCCCAUCUAAAACAUAGUCGAUGGCCAAUCUUCUCAGCGUCCUUUUGUCAUUCUCACUUGCCUGGUCGGGGUAUUCACGAUUCCUCACGUAUUGCAAUAUAUCGUGAUACCAAGGGUGAUCAUCUUUUUCUUCAUCCUCUUUAAUAUUAUAACAGUGGGGAGGAGUUUCAUAAAUGCUCAUCCGGAUGGGUUUGACAUCUUCUUGUUUGUUCACCUUGAUCAGGGAGGCUAAGGUAGCCAAAGCAUCAGCCAUCUGAUUUUUGAAUCGUGGAAAGUAGUGGAAGGUAAUGUCAUCAAACUCUUUAACCAAUUCCAGGACCAGCUUCCGAUAAUCGAUUAACUUGGGGUCUCUGGUCUCCCAUUCUCCCUUGAGUUGAUAAAUCACUAGCGCAGAAUCUCCAUACACUUCUAGCACUUUAAUCUUGCGUUCUAUGGUUGCACGGACUCCCAUGAUACACGGCUCAUAUUCUGCCAUGUUAUUCGUACAAUCAAAAUCCAAUUUACUAGUGAAUAGAUAAUGAUCUCCAUUUAGGGAUACCAAGACUGCCCCGAUUCUAUUACCCACGGCGUUUGAUGCCCCAUCGAAGUUUAGUUUCCAAGGAAGUUCUUCCAGAGUACCUUCUUCAGUGGUAGCAACACACAUUAGGUCUUCAUUCAGAAAGUCGAAGUUCAAAGGCUCGUAACCUUCCAAAGCUCUACUAGCCAGAAAAUCUGCUAUUGCGCUUCCUUUUACGGCUUUCUGAUUCACAUAGACUAUGUCGAAUUCAGAUAGUAGAAUCUGCUAUCGGGCAAUCCUUCCAUUCAAAGCAGUUGACUCCAUCAUGUAUUUUAAAGGAUCUAAUUUUGAGAUGAGCCAAGUAGUGUGAUACAACAUAUACUGCCUCAGCCUUCGGGUUGUCCAAAUUAGGGCACAACACAACUUCUCUAUCGGUGGGUACCUUGUUUCACAGUUAGUGAACUUCUUACUAAGGUAGUAAAUAGCUCUUUCUUUCCUUCCUGACUCAUCGUGCUAACCUAAUACGCACCCCAUGGAAUUUUCAAAUACUGCCAAAUACAGUAUCAAUGGCUUAUCGGGGUUAGGUGGUGUUAGCACCGGAGCAUUGGAUAAGUACUGUUUGACUUUGUCAAAAGCCCUUUGGCAUUCUUCAUCCCAUUCCCCUAGGUUGUGUUUCUUGAGGAGGCGAAAUACAAGGUCACAUUUCUCGGUCAGUUGUGAAAUGAACCGAGUAAUGUAGUUUAAUCUUCCUAGAAAGCCUCGAACUUCUUUCUGGGUACGUGGCGGAGAUAGCUCUUGUAUGGCUUUGACUUUUUCUGGAUCAAUCUCAAUCCCUUUCUCGCUAACUACGAAUCUGAGAAGUUUUCUAGACCUGACUUUGAAGGUACAUUUGGCUGGGUUGAGUUUUAGCUGAAACUUCCUCAACCUCAAGAACAAUUUUCUCAGGACUUGUAUAAGCUCCUUCUCUAUUCGAGAAUUUGCGAUCAUAUCAUCGACAUAAACCUCGAUUUCUUUAUGCAUCAUAUCGUGGAACAGGGUUACCAUGGCUCUUUGAUAAGUUGCCCCCGCAUUCUUUACUCCAAACGGCAUCACUUUGUAGCAGAACGUGCCCCACAUGGUUACAAAUGUGGUCUUCUCCAUGUCUCCAGGAUACAUCUUGAUCUGGUUAUCAGAGAAACCGUCCAUGAAUGAAAAUAAUGAAUGUCCUACCGUGUUGUCUACUAGGGUGUCGAUAUGAGGCAGUGGGAAAUUAUCCUUCGGGCUGGCUUUAUUUAAAUCUCUGUAGUCCACACACAUUCGCACUUUUCCAUCUUUCUUACGGACGAGGACGAUGUUGGCUACCCAAUCUGGGUAUUUUACCACCUUCAGAAAUCUAGCGUCGAACUGCUUUUGAACCUCUUCUUUUAUUUUUAGCUAGACAUCGGGCCUCAUUCUUCGAAGUUUUUGCUGAACUGGCUUACAUUCUUCCUUUAUGGGGUGCCGGUGCACCACGAUAUCAGUGUCUAAACCAGGCAUAUCUCGGUAUAGCCAUGCGAAGACAUCUUUAAACUCUUGAAGUAAUUCGAUCAGAUCUCGCUUCACCUCCACAGUAAUACAAGUUUUGAUCUUUACCUCUUGUGCUUCUCCUAAGCUCAUAAUUUCAACUGAUUCUUUGUGAGGUAGGAUUUGUUUAUCGUCUCAUUCUACCAUUCUCAACAAAUCAGGAGAUAGGUUACAGCCUUGGUCAUCUUUAAAAUCCUGAGAAUCCUCCAUACACACAUCUCGCUCAAAAGAAAAUUCUGAGUCGCUAGUAGUGCCACUAGUAUCAUUAACAUCUGGGGACCUGUUACGAGGAUGAAAACAGAUACAAAGAAUCAAAAGAAUUUAAAACAUUUAUUUGUAUGGUAUGAUUAUCAAUGACGAAUGAAAGAAUAUUUAGAAGAAUGUUUAAAGAAUAAAAGAAUCCAAAAGUAAUCAUUUGUAUGAUUAUGAAUAAAAUUGGAAGGAUGAGAGAACAUUUGCUCAAAAAUGAUAAUAAACGUGCAUUUUAUUGAAAUAACGUUUUUAAACAUCAACCUAUUUCACAAAAUAUUCUUAUUACUCCUAGGCCUAGAGCAAUAAGUGUGUUUUGGACAUUACUCUGAAUCAGUUCUAAAAACUACAGGAAUCUCUUCCGCAGUCCAGUUAUCCAGAACAUUUCCAUGUAGGUAGGGGCAAAUGCCUGAUAAAUUUUCUCUUCCAGUCUCCUCUUUGUACGUGGCGUUGAUGUCCAAGCUUUCUAGCAUUUCUUCUAUGGCUCCCUUCAUUGUCGUAUUUCUCUUGGGAUGAAUGAUUCCCCCGAACACAAACGUUUUCGAUAUAUGGGGGAAUAUCAUUGGCUCCCACUUGAUUUCCUCCCCCGUUAACCGUGCUCUCCUUCUUUCUUUCUUCUUUUCUAGCUCCCUUCUCCUUUGUUUCGCAUCCGGCUUAAAUCCUAAGCCAAAGCGAUUUCUCUUGUUCUUCAGCAUUGGCGUCUCAAUCCUUCCUUGCAGAUGCCUCCCAAGUCCUCUUCCGGGUAGGGCCCCUUUUCCAAUCGUCAACUGUAGGCUCAUCCUCGUUGUUUUGGACAAUCUUGGCACCAGAAUCUUGCUUCCCUCGGCGAUGAAGGUUGCAUUAACAAAUUCUAAAGAUUGAAAUGAACAUUCGAUUGCCUCGUCAUCUGUCUCCAAAUAGGGCGCAUUAUUGCUCACAGUUGUAAUAAUAUCCUCUUCAGCCUUGAUCGUUAUCAACCUCCCCUCCGAUACCAGCUUCAAUUUUUGAUGCAACGAGGAAGGGACCGCUCCAGCUGAAUGUAUCCAGGGCCUCCCCAAUAAGCAAUUAUAUGAGGCUUGAUAUCCAUUACUAGGAAAUCCACCUCAUACGUGUUUUGCACGAUCUGAAAAAGUACCUCGAUUCUGCCCAUCACCUUUCUCUCCGUGCCGUCAAAUGCUUUCACUAUAUUCUGGCACUCCUUCAUGUGAGAGCUGUCUAUAGGUAAUCUGUUAAGUGUAGUCAAGGGCAAGACGUUCACGACUGAACCAUUGUCAAUCAGUAUGCCCGGUAGCGUAUAUCCUUUGCAACGUGUGAUGAUAUGCAAAGCUUUAGUCGACCCCAUGCCACCGGGUGGUAUCUUAUCGUUAUUAAAGAAAAUAUAAUUGUCGGCACUUAUGUUGCUAACCAAACGGUCCAGCUUGUUAACAGAGAUAUCAUUGGCAACGUAUGUUUCAUUCAAGACCUUCAUCAGCGCGCUGCGAUGAACUUUCGAGCUUAGAAGUAAGGCCAGCACCGAGAUACGGACUGGUUGUUUACGUAGCUAUUCCACCAUGCUGUAUUCGUUAUAUUUUAGGAAUUUUAAAAACUCCUUGGCCUCCUCUUCAUUAACUGGCUCGUUAACAGGCUUGGUUGCUUUUUCUUUCAUUUUCUCGGCCAUUUGGGCUUUUCCUUUUACGGGUUGUACCUCCUCAUUUGCUGCAUUGUAACAUCUCCCGCUACGUAUAUAAGAGCCCUUGUCUUGACCCUCUUAUGAAGUAUCCGUGAGGCUUUCCUUUCCCGGAAUCAUCACGUUACAAUCAUAAUUCCAUGGGAUCUUUUUGCUGUCUUUGUAGGGGAAGACUGUAGGUCUUUGGAUUAUGACCCUCGGUGGCAUUUGUACUCCGGCUUCAUUAUUUUUGGGUCUCAAUAUGAUAACUACGGGAUAGUUAGUUGUUUAAUUCUAUGUCGUCGAUUCUCCUUCCGAUGCACAUAUAUCUUCCUCUACGGGGUCUUCGAUCUCUACAUAGAACUCCAUUUUCUUAUUAUCCAUCAUCUUCUGUACUAGGGCCCUGAAUUCCACACCCUCUUAGAUUUCAUGCCCCACCUCAUUGUGGAACUCGCAGCAGUUCUUCUGUUCCUUAUAUUCGUCCCUCGAAUCCAACGCAAUCAAUCCUCUCUUGGCCAUCUCCUUCCAUACUUGCCUCAACGGGGUCCUGACUUCUGCCACCUCGUUCUUGAUUUUCUUAUUCCUACCUCCACUUAUCCCAUUCACUCCUUGGUCGAAAUGAUUAGGGAGUGGGUUUCCUGCUACAUUGGGUGUGGUUGGAUCGUCAAAUCUCACGAUCCCCAUCUUAAUGAGUCUUUCGACUACUUUCUUGAACGCAGUGCAGUUUUCAAUUGAGUGCCCAGUGAUUCCCGCGUGGUAUUCACAUUGGGCGUUUGUGUCAUACCAUUUGGGAUACGGGGGCUGUAGUGGCUUCAGGUAGAAAGGGGACACCACAUGAGCGUUGAACAGGUUCUGGUACAACUCCCUAUAUGUCAUGGGUAUAGGGAUGAAUUGUGGCAUUUCGUGUUCUCCCUUGCGUUGGAUUCUUGUCUUACAGAGGCUUAUUGAUUAGUGGUCACCGUAUUAGGUUGAUUUAAGGUAAACGACUUGGAUUGCCCCUUGUUGAAUGCGUUCAUGUUGUUCACUUCAUUAUCUCUUUUCCUCGGGGCCGACUUUUUGGUACUUUCUCCGGCUUCUAUCUUACCACUUCUAACGGUAUUUUCGAUCAUUUCCCCUGUCAUCACUAUGUCGAAGAAGCUCUUGGUGGCGCUUCCCAACAUAUGAGUGAUAAAAGGGGCCUUCAAGGUGUUUAUAAAGAGCAUUGUCGUCUCCUUUUCUAGAAGUGGCGGCUGAACCUAUAUGGCCACCUCUCUCCAUCUUUGUGCAUACUGUCUGAAGCUUUCAUUCGAUUUCUUCUCCAUGUUCUGGAGAGUGAUUCUGUCAGGGGUCAUGUUUGUCACAUGAGUGUAUUGCUUCAUAAAGGCCUGAGCUAGGUCCUUCCACGAAUUAAUUUUAGAGCGGCUUAAUUGGUUGUACCACUUAGACGCUGCCCCGACCAGACUAUCUUGAAAGCAGUGGAUUAAUAGCUAGUCAUUGUUAACGUAACCCGUCAUUCGCCUGCAGAACAUAGUGAUGUGGGCUUCAGGGCAACUUGUUCCAUUGUAUUUCUUGAAUUCGGGCAUUUUGAAUUUAGGGGGAAGGACUAAAUCUGGGACUAGACUCAGGUCUUUGGCAUCAAUCCCUUGAUGAUGAUCCGCGCUUUCCAUGGCUUUGAAUUUCUCCUCGAGCCAUCUACACCGUUCUUCUAAUUAUUUUUGUGAAUCUAUCCUCACCUUUUCUUCGUCGGCAACUUCAUCCAAAUCGGGAACGGACGGAUAGUUCGGGUUGUUGACAAAGUUAGAGCCUGAACCAGUUUGGAAAUUCAUCGGUAUUGAAGCUCCGGCCUGAACCUGCUGGGGCAUGAUCGUGACAGAUGGUUUUGGUAAAUUAAUCUCGGGCUUCAUCGGUACAUGUGUCGGAGUGAAGCCAGGGAGGUAUUGAGGAUCCUCAUUAGUUUCUUCAACUUUGUCCAUGGGGCCCUUUCCCUUAUCUGUUCCUCCCAACAGUAAUUGGGAUAACUGACUCAUCAUUUCCCUCUUGGACUCCAUCAUUUGCUCUUUUAUCUCUCGCUGAAUCUUGGCUAACUGCUCUUGUAUCUGAGACUGCAUUUGUUCUUGCAUGUCUUUUUGCAUCUGCUCCAAUUUCUCGAGUCUCUUAUCUAUUGAUUUUUUUCUUGUACCGUAGGGGAGCGUGGUUGGUUGGUUUUCGUUGGUUUCUAGGUUACUGAAAUGAUUUUUAAUUAAUGAGAAACCUCUUAUGGCCUUUAAUGCAUAAUGAUAUGAUGUAAUGCAAAUGCAUGAAUGCAAAGGAGGCAUCAAUUUUGAUUCAAUUCCCCUUAGAAAAUUUCACUUGAAAAUAAAAUCUUUUACAUAAAGUUGAGUUACAAAUAAAAUUUCGCUCUAACACUCAAAGACCUAAUUUUUCUAAGCAACGAGGCCAUCUCUUGUCCGCGAUCUGACUCCAACUCAUACUUCACGUUGAGUGUGUCUGCCUGUACCACUAGAGUUUUCAAGUAGUCGGUUACCUCCUGAAUCUGGGUUAUGGCCUCCCCCAUAAGGUAAUCUCUGUUUCUGACUUGGUCUUGCACAUGGUGAAGCUGCUCUUUCCAACGAUCCUCGUUUGCCUCGAAAAAUUGGAUCCGCAUCUCACAGUUUUGCAGUGAUGCCUCUAACUCUUCUAUUUUUCCUUUCAUUUCUUCUAUCUUGCUCAAGCUUGCCCUCAAUUCCAUUGCGGUGUUGCGGUUUCGGUACUGAUGCAGAGAUUUCUCGAGUUCUGCCACUCUAGCCCUUAAUUCACCUCGCUCAUUUCUGCUUUCCAACAGACUCUUCUCUAAAUCUUCAUUUCGUGCUUGAGCUUCUCGAAAUUUCCUUUCCCACCGGUCGGUAUUGGCUUUUUCUUCUCGAAUUUCAUAGCGCCACUAUUCGGAAGUCUUACCUAAACCUGCAGUCCUCAUAAAUAGGCGCAGCUUCUUGUAGUCCGUCUUCAAGCUGUCUAGGUCCUCUUCGGCCUUAGUUUUUCCUUUUCUCCACUUCUCAGCCUCUGACCUCUGGACAUCAGUGUCUAAUAUCAGGUGUAUCUUUUCUUCCUCCAAUUGUUCGAUCUUCUUCCCAAGCUCAGAACUCUUUUUCUCGAAAUCUUGCCUUAUAAUUCCAAUUCUGACGGGGCGACUUGUAAUUGUUCCCCGAUAGGUCGAGCAUUCUCCAAGCUUAUCCUAGAAACAUUAUCAUUAACCCUCUUCUUAAACCACUCGUUAUACCCGGGUGUUACCAUGAAAUCAACGGCUAACCUCUUCAUCCAACAAGUUUCCUUCCAGGCAUCCGAUAACUCCCGAACUUUCUUCUUAUAGUGAGCACCCUUAAAAGAGAAUUCAGUCUGAGCUAGUCCGUAGGUCGUGGGUAUAAACUGCCUCGACUUAUAUUGCCUUAACGCAAGUAAUAGAGUAUACCUGGUAGCUCCCCAAAUUCCUAACAACGCACCCAAUCAAAGUUACCACAUCGGUACAUGAUCUCAUCAAGAACCACCCAGUAGGCUCUCCACUCGAUAUCCCCCUCCUUGAGGUCCUGAAGAAUGUCCAUCCACUUCUCCUACAAGAUAUCCUCUCUCCUUUGUAUAGCUGCCUCUUCUUUUAAUGGGGAAUAACCUUCGGAAAAGACCCGAUAGGAAACCUUGUCUAUCUUCCAAAAGUGCCCGUGAAACCAUGCCAUCAAUAAUUGUGCACAUCCAAUGAAUCGUCCUUCGCCCGUUUUUCGACAUGAGCUCAAAGAUCUGAACGUUUCUUUCAAUAUUGCCAGUACCGGUGUGAUUCCCUUCUCAAUGCAGUCGAAUAAAUCAAUGACUGCCUCGUCCACGUGCCUCGAAGCCUUGGAAAAAAACCAAUCCAUAAUACUUAAGGCAAAGAUAUCGACCCUCUUUCUUUCGUCUGGAUGCGUCAAGAUCAAAUCUCGCAAAUUCUCCCAAGGGAUACAUUUGCUAUCUCCUUUUUGCUGAAUCCGAGCAGUUACCCAAGGCUCGCUCAUCCCAGAAAUACUCAUCAGUUUCUUCACGAAAGUCUGACUACUAAAAACCCGGGCAUAAGUCUUCCAGACCUGAAUUUUUGGACACCUGAGCAAAGUAGUGUAUUCCUCCAUGGUAGGUACCAAAUCCACUUCUUCAAAAGUGAAACACUUGUACGCGAAAUUCCAAAACUGCGCCAAGGCUCGGAAUAAAUGUUUAUCCACUCUAAUGUCUAGCAGGUAGGAUAUGUCACCAUAGCUUUGGUAAAAAAACUGCUUGAUCCCUUCAUCCCAACUAGCCCAAAUGUCUCUCAACUCUUGCAGCUCAUUCUGUACUACAUUGACGCGACUGAAAUCUUGCAGCUCCGAUACAUACCCUUCUGCCAAGCUAUCCCCUCUCUCUAAUUGUAGCCCCUCCGACCAUGCACAAACGGCCGCAUUAUCCUCGACUUUACUAAGAAAUUCAUUCUCCAUGUCAAACUUUCUAACUUAGUAAUUGAAUACGGAUUAACACCUCCUUUAAUAUGCAAGGUCAUGCAAAAAGACAAUCAAAACAAAACACAGGUUAGUAUCAGAUAAUAUCGAUAAAAUGUAAGCACAUAAACGAUAAUCACAACGCAUAUACGGGUAAGUACUAAGGCUCGACGCGGCUCCACCCAAGGAUAGCUCCUAAGGUUCACUAUAUGUGGUUUAGUUCUAGGGAUAAGGUACCCGAACCAGCAAAUUCCUCAAUCCUCACCCAUUAUAUGCUCAUAUAGAUCGAGUUCUGUUCGGGGGAUACAUUUCCCUAUGACCAUGCGGAGAUGAAAAUCUCACGAAAUCAUAGGUACGGAUGUACCCCGGAAGCAAUCCACUAGCCCAUGCGGAGGUGAAAACCUCACGAAAGCGUAGUUUCUUACUCCCACUUAAAAGGUGUGACCACAGCGGUCAUACAAUGAAAUGAAGUACUAUUCUACAAGACCCGCACCAAAACAAUCAUACAAUCAAAUGCAAUCGAAAGAUACAUGAUUUUUUUAAAAAUAAAAUUUCGGUCUUUGACAAAAGGACAGUAAAUAAUCGAUUUUUAUGGCUCGACUCUCAAGUCCCUAGUGGAGUCGCCAAGCUGUCGAAACCAUCUUUUUUUUUUCAAAAUUUUAAGUUUAAUGAAAAAUAGACGAGGAUCGACUUUUUAAAAAUAAAACGUGGAGUCGCCACCGAUCCUUUUUUUUUGGUGUGAUCGGAUCACCUAAGAAUGAGGUUAUUUUAAUAAAACAUUUUUAGUUUAUUAAAACAACAAUUUUGGUCUACGAAUUUUUGAGAAAGCGGGUUAGGGAGUCAGUUACACAUGAGGAAGGAUUAGCACCCUCACUACGCCCAAAAUUGGUACCAAAUCGAUUAAAUACUGCCUUAUGUCUAAAAUCAAAACUGUUUUUGAAAUGUGGUUCCUUUUUUAAUAACAUUUGAAUAACCCGAGUUGGUUGCCAAAAGACCUUCUAGUUUCGAGUUCCGAAAGUUUAUAAUUCGAAAAUUACAAAAGAAUACUCAACUAUUUGGUCCAACAAAAAACCGAAACCCAACACAGUAGGGUACGAUUCCUUGAAUUCCCAAACAUUGAACAUUUCAUCGUCUUAGGAAAUACGAGUGAAAUUCCAAAGGGAUCUUCGAUUAUUUUGAAUAAAUGAGAAAGCGCAACCCAGCACGAUAGGGCUCGAUUCUCAAAUUGCCAAACAUCGAACAUCGCCUUCGUUUUGAAAGAUUUUUAAUAAACAUGAAUGAAAACCUAAAGGAAUAUUUGAUUGUUUUGAACAAAAGAGAGAUCACAACCCAGCACGAUUGGGCAUGAUUCCCGAAUUGUCAAACACCGAGUAUUACCUUCGUUUUAAAUGAUUUUUAGAAGACAUGAAUGGAAUUUUGAAGGGAUAUUCGAUCAUUUUAAGCAAACGAGAAAUUGCAACCCAGCACGUUAGGGCACGAUUCCUGCGAAUUUCCAAAUGUCAAACCUUGCCUUCGUUUUAAAUAGUUCUUAAAAGGCGUGAGUGAAAUUUUGAAGGGAUAUUCGAUUAUUUUGAGCAAACGUGAAAUUACAACCCAACACGUUAAGGCGCGAUUCCGCGAAUUGCCAAAUAUCGGAUCUCGUCUUCGUUUUGAAGAAUUUUUAAAUGAAUACUCAUAAAAAUAACUUAAAACAUAUUAAUGUAUUUUUUGAAAUGAGACGAAAUUAAUCAUAAAGAUUUGAAUUUUAUAAAAACCACAUUUCAAAAACAAGGCGGAAAACGAUGAUAUGAAGUAAUAGGCGCAUACGAGAUACCAUGCUUGAUGAAUGAGAAUAUUAAUCAACUAAGAAAAUAAGCAAUUAAAUAUAAUUAGCUUGAAAAUAUAACUCAACUUCAAUCAUGCAUGGAGAACAAUUAACAUAGCAAUGAUGAAUAAAUAAAAUGAAACGAUAGCAUACAUGGCAUAAUAAAAUUAUUAGAGGCACAAAACAAAAUGCAAUCCAAGGAAGCAAUAUGGUAUAAAACUAUUUCACAAUAAUGACGAAUGAAUGGACAUAUAAAAUAUAGGUUGGUAAAUUUGUAUAUAUAUAAAAACUAGGGCUAGAUAUAUAGUUUUUUUGGAUAUUAAGGAAUGAAAAUUUGGAUCACGUUGCAUGUGAAACAUUUUAAACACAAAUAUAUUUAAAAGUUGACGAACUACAUGAUGAUUUAAAUAAUAUAUAAUAUAAAAAAAUAAUAAUGAAUAUAUAUAACAAGACAUAACACAUAAAAUAGAUUUAUAAAACAUAUGUACAUGUAAGUUUAUUGUAAAAAAAAAUGAGGUCAAUAAUAAGAUAUAUAUAUACAUAUAAAUUCUUAAAAUAGUCCAAAAAUUAUGCAUAUCCUUGUAUCAAGACAUUUAAAAUAAUACUAUAUAAACUCAAAAGCAAUAUAAUAUAAAUAUAUACUCAAAAAUGAUAAUUUUAAUUACAAAAAAAAAGGUUUUCCAAAGUUAUUUCAUAUAUAUAUAGAGAAAGUACAUGCAAAAUAACAUUGAAAUAUGUAUAGGGCCAAAUUAAUUUUAUUAUAAAUUACGUGGUAGAUUUAAGAACAUAUUUGUAUAUGUAAGAAAACCAUAUGUAUAAAAAUGUAUGGAUUAAAUACGAGUGCCUAGAAGUAUAUAUACAUAUAAUGACAAUAGCUUAAAAAAAACAUUGCAUGGGGUUAUAUAUAUAAUAAAAUUAGCUUUAAUACAAAGUAUACGUGUAUAUAUAUAUAAUAAUAAUAUUUACACAAGUGGUCAUAUGAGAAUGUCAAAAUAAUUUGAUGCAAAAAGAAAUUCAAAAUGGCUUUACAAAACAAAACAAAGUUAUACAUGUGCAAAUAUAUAUGAAUAUAGAAAAUAAAAUGAAAAUGCUAACAUAAUAGAAAGAAACUUUAAAACAAUCGUAUGAAUAAGCAACCAAGAAUAAAAUUUAUAAACUAAAAGGGUUUAAUUAGAAUCGACCCAUAAUAAAAGGGAAAAUUUGAAAACAAAACAUUAGAAGAAAGGACCUCUGCGCGAUGCGCGCAAAUGCACAGGGGCUCAAUCAGGAAAUAAUCCAAGCUAUCAAAACGCAGCUCAUAUGCCCGGACUAGACUGCAAAUGCAUGCAAAUUAUAAGGGCCGAAUUCAAAAGAAAUAAAUCUGGAUUGGGCCUAAUCGAACCACUGUACGAUGGGAGAGGACCAAUCUUGGAAAUAACCCUUCACCGCGAAAACACGCGGGUCCCGAGGGUUAAAGAGCUGAAACCCCUAAUAAAACACCCCAUUUUAGCUGAAACCCCCAUUCUUUUUCUCCUUUUCCAAACCCUAAAACUUCCCCCCUGAAGCUGCUGAUUCUCCUUCCCCUAGCAGCCAACAGAUUUAGGCUGGGGAGAACGCUUUUCAGCCCUCCGAUUUCCUCUUGACUUCGAUUUCGACUAAGUAAGAGGAGAUCCAUGGCGUAUUCUCCAGGUAAACUCCCAUUUUCCUUCUUUAAUCAAACUUUCGAAUAAAGAAAAAGAUCAACAAAACAAAAAGAAAAAGGAUCCAGUCAAAAGGGAACGCCUAGAGAUUUGAGUCAGGAAAUCACCUUUAGAAAAAUGGUUGCUUUGUAGUGCUUGAAUUUUUGUAUUUUUUUUGUUGCGUAUUUGCGCGUAAAAAAAAUUACAAUGAGCAGAGGCUUUGGCUUUAUAGCCGAAACAGAUAUAAGAAAUACUCAAAAAUAAAAAUCGAAUACAAAUCCCCAUUUUGCUGUUGUCUUUUUUGUAUGUAUUUGCUGCUGUGGUUUGUUCUCUUUCGCAGGUACGGGUGCUGUGCUGGCGUACGGAGGCUUGGCGUGGUUGUUGUAGGCGUUGUACGGAGCGUACGGUGCUGGGGGAGGGCUUCUGCGGCGCGAGUGUAAGAAAGAAACCCUAGGGUUUCUGUUCUAAAAUUCCUGGGCCAUUUGGGCCAAUGUAAUUUUGGGUCUUGGGUUAAAUUGGGGAUUGGGUAUUGGUUUAUUGUUUUAAUUUGGGUCAAAGCCUGAAAUAGACUGUUAUAAGAUUUAAGUUUUGGUCUUGUAACUAGUUUGGGCUUUGAUUGGUUAUUAGCCCGUGGACUAUUGUAAUUAUUUGGACUUUGGACUGUUAAUAUUUAUAUUUAAUUAUUAUUUAUUUAUUUUUGGGUUUCAAGGGGGCCGGGCAAAUUGGCCUAUUUACAUUACUUAUAUAUUAUUUCACAAUUAUCACGAUUAAUGACAUUCAUAUACCAUAAUAUACUAUGACAUGUAUGAAAUUUACCUACCAAAAUAGUGAAUUUAGCCAUAUGAACUUACCUAGGCUAAUUUGCAAAAAGUCGUAGAAAUUUAGGGACUAUUCUUGCAAUUUCUCCUUUCCACGAUUCACUUUAUUUUCUUAAUCUAUAAUUAUAAAAUCAUUUCUUUAUUAGCAUCUAUUUCAAUUCUAUUCUACUUCACAAUUUAUGCCUUUUAAUUUUUAAAUUACACUAUUACCCUAAACUUUUCAAUUUUUACAAUUUAGUCUCUACUCAAUUUAUUCAUAAAUUAAGUUAGUUAUUCUCAAAUAACAUUUUAACAAGAUAUUAUAAACUACUUCAAAGAAUUUAACAUUCAAAAUUUCAACACAAAACCCUAAUUCCAACAACUUUCACAAUUAGAUCCUAAAAAUCAAUUCUUAUAAAAUCUCUUCAUAAAAUCAUCAUAUAAUAAACUUAGAACCCCAAUUACAUACUAAAUCAUCAUAAAAUUUC
rnacentral:lncRNA from 1 species